AUUGAACGCUGGCGGCAGGCCUAACACAUGCAAGUCGAGCGAGCGGCGGACGGGUGAGUAAUGUCUGGGAAACUGCCUGAUGGAGGGGGAUAACUACUGGAACCGGUAGCUAAUACCGCAUACCAUCGGAUGUGCCCAGAUGGGAUUAGCUAGUAGGUGGGGUAAAGGCUCACCUAGGCGACGAUCCCUAGCUGGUCUGAGAGGAUGACCAGCCACACUGGAACUGAGACACGGUCCAGACUCCUACGGGAGGCAGCAGUGGGGAAUAUUGCACAAUGGGCGCAAGCCUGAUGGAGCAAUGCCGCGUGUAUGAAGAAGGCCUUCGGGUUGUAAAGUACUGUCAGCAGGGAGGCGUUACCCGCAGAGGAAGCACCGGCUAACUCCGUGCCAGCCGCCGCGGUAAUAC
rnacentral:rRNA from 1 species